UUGNANUGGGCGCAGCCUGAUCCAGCAAUGCCGCGUGAGUGAGGAAGGCCUUAGGGUUGUAAAGCUCUUUCACCCACGACGAUGAUGACGGUAGUGGGAGAAGAAGCCCCGGCUAACUUCGUGCCAGCAGCCGCGGUAAUACGAAGGGGGCGAGCGUUGUUCGGAUUUACUGGGCGUAAAGGGCGCGCAGGCGGCAGACCAAGUCAGGCGUGAAAGCCCCGGGCUCAACCUGGGAAUUGCGCUUGGGACUGGUUUGCUGGAGUUCGGGAGAGGAGCGUGGAAUUCCCAGUGUAGAGGUGAAAUUCGUAGAUAUUGGGAAGAACACCGGUGGCGAAGGCGGCGCUCUGGACCGAGACUGACGCUGAGGCGCGAAAGCGUGGGGAGCAAACAGGAUUAGAUACCCUGGUAGUCCACGCCGUAAACGAUGUGUGCUAGACGUUGGGGAGCCUAGCUCUUCGGUGUCGCAGCUAACGCUUUAAGCACACCGCCUGGGGAGUACGGCCGCAAGGUUAAAACUCAAAGAAAUUGACGGA
rnacentral:rRNA from 1 species